UACGUAGGGCGCAAGCGUUGUCCGGAAUUAUUGGGCGUAAAGAGCUCGUAGGCGGCUUGUCACGUCGAUUGUGAAAGCCCGGGGCUUAACUCCGGGUCUGCAGUCGAUACGGGCUAGCUAGAGUGUGGUAGGGGAGAUCGGAAUUCCUGGUGUAGCGGUGAAAUGCGCAGAUAUCAGGAGGAACACCGAUUGCGAAGGCAGCUCGCUGGGACGUCACUGACGCUGAGACGCGAAAGCGUGGGGAGCAAACAGG
rnacentral:rRNA from 1 species